GCUGUCUGUUGAUCACAGCUCUCCUGGCUGUCCGUGGUCUGUAAGGCGAUGAGACAGACAACUGAAAGGAGGAAGCCACGGCUGGCCCUUCUACUACCUCUCUCAGCAACAACAGAGCUUGCACUCUGAGCUCCAUGGAUGAGAGAAGACUGGCAGCCUUUGCUAAGAACAGUGGAGAAUAAACAGAGGAUUGUGGCUCUCCUGCUGGUUAACAUAAUGCCUGAGACAAAGAUGGUACUUAAUGUGUGUUUGCUGAAUGAACAGAUGGAUGACUGA
rnacentral:lncRNA from 1 species